UACGUAGGGCGCAAGCGUUAUCCGGAAUUAUUGGGCGUAAAGCGUGCGCAGGCGGCUUUGCAAGACAGAUGUGAAAUCCCCGGGCUCAACCUGGGAACUGCAUUUGUGACUGCAUGGCUGGAGUGCGGCAGAGGGGGAUGGAAUUCCGCGUGUAGCAGUGAAAUGCGUAGAUAUGCGGAGGAACACCGAUGGCGAAGGCAAUCCCCUGGGCCUGCACUGACGCUCAUGCACGAAAGCGUGGGGAGCAAACAGG
rnacentral:rRNA from 1 species